UUCAACAACGUCUUGAAAUAACGUUAAGACCCGCCUACAAUUAUUUCAAUGGCGUACUGUUUGUUUACAUUUAAUAAAACUAAUAUAAAUUGAUCCAUAAAUAUAAAAUGCAGUGAUGUAGACAAAUUUCGAUAUCUUUAUCGAUAAUUGAUAAGUAUUUAGUUUAACUAAUGUGUUUUAUUUUGUUGAAUUUGCUACGACAAAAAAAUUUAAUACCCACAAAUUAUUGCCUUAACCCACAAUUAAGUCUUCGAUUCCACAUGAAUUUUAAUUUUUAGUGAAUGUUUCAUCUUUAUUAGAUUAUAGGGUGAAUAAAACAGAAGGAAUGGAAUUGAAUAAGUAUUAUCAAAUAAUACUAAUAUUACUGGUCUGUUUUAAAGUGCAGCCAAAAUGACCGUGACUUUGGGCAAUAACAAAUGAGACGACACAAUUUUUGAUAAAUGAUGUACUGUACAUAAUUUAUUGUCAAAUACUGUAAAUAAGAGCAUAAAAGUUACAUAAUCAACUAACAAGUUCCCUUGAAAUAACUUCUUGUGGUGCAGAAGGAGCGCAUGCUGUUAUAAACUAAGCAUAAGUGGAUAAUAAUUUUAACUUUCUAGUUUGAUAAAGUUGUGCACAGUAUCUUUCUUUUCAAACUAUUUUUUUUAUUUUCUGUUUUUACAUAAACAUAAAGAGUACUGCAAUUAAAAGUGAAUGAAAAAUGCUCAUUCCAAAAUUAAUAAUUUAAUCUAUUUUGAAAUCACACCACAAACGUACAAAAAUAUUCUUCCAUACAUUUUUAACAAUAUCAC